AUCCAGCUGAAAAGUCCCAAAUAGGACGAAGUGAGUGUCCUGGAU
rnacentral:hammerhead_ribozyme from 1 species